rnacentral:snRNA from 1 species
AUGUUUCAGUAGCACAUACACUAAAAUUGGAAUAAUACAGAGAAGAUUAGCAUGGCCCUUUUGCAAGAAUGAUAUGCAUAUUCAUGAAACAUUCUAUCUUUAA